GUGAAUCAUCGAAUCUUUGAACGCACCUUGCACCCUUUGGUAUUCCGAAGGGUACACCCGUUUGAGUGUCAUUGUAACCUCACAUAUUCAACUUUAAUGACGAAUGAUGUGGAUUUGGAUGCUGCUGUGACAAACGGCUCAUCUGAAAUGCCUGAGUGUAGCUUGCUUCUGUGGUGCAUUUGGUGUAAUAAACCUUCACCGGAGAAUGAUCUUUUGGAUCACAUCAUUGUUGCCAGGCUAUGCUUCCAAAAGUCUUCACAAGACAACAUUCUGACAAUUUGACCUCAAAUCGGGUGGGACUACCCGCUGAACUUAAGCAUAUCAAUAAGCGGAGGA
rnacentral:misc_RNA from 1 species